rnacentral:rRNA from 1 species
ACAAUGGACGAAAGUCUGAUGGAGCAAUACCAUGUGAACGAUGAAGGCCUUUUUGGUUGUAAAGUUCUUUUACGAGGGAUAAUUAUGAUAGUACUUCGUGAAUAAGUGACAGCAAACUAUGUGCCAGCAGCUGCGGUAAUACAUAGGUCGCGAGCAUUAUUCGGAUUUAUUGGGCGUAAAGCAAGCGCAGGCGGAUGUGUAAGUUCUGUGUUAAAUGCAGCUACUCAAUAGUUGUAUGCACCGAAUACUACAUGUCUAGAUUGUGGUAGGGAGUUUCGGAAUUAAGCAUGGAGCGGUGGAAUGUGUAGAUAUGCUUAAGAACACCAGAGGCGAAGGCGGAAACUUAGGCCAUAAAUGACGCUUAGGCUUGAAAGUGUGGGGAGCAAAUGGGAUUAGAUACCCCAGUAGUCCACACCGUAAACGAUGGGUAUUAGAUAUUAGGGCUUUAGCUUUAGUGUUGUAGCUUACGCGUUAAAUACCCCGCCUGGGUAGUACAUAUGCAAAUAUGAAACUCAAAGGAAUUGACGGGGACCUGAACAAGUGGUGGAGCAUGUUGCUUAAUUCGAUAAUACACGAAAAACCUUACCAAGGUUUGACAUCCCUCGCAAAGC